GAGUUUGUAGCUCAGCUAGUAGAGUGCAUGCUUUGGGUGCAUGAUGUGCUAGGUGCAAUUCCCAGCUUCUUUC